UUCCGGUUGAUCCCGCCGGACCUGACUGCUAUCGGAUUGAUACUAAGCCAUGCGAGUCUUUGUAGUAAUACAAGGCAGACGGCUCAGUAACGCGUAGUCAACCUACCCUAUGGACGGGGAUAAUCUCGGGAAACUGAGCAUAAUACCCGGCGUACCACCAUUCCUGGAAUGGUUGGUGGUUAAAAUGAUUCGUCGCCGUAGGAUGGGACUGCGACCUAUCAGCUUGUUGGUGAGGUAAAGGCCCACCAAGGCGAUUACAGGUACGGGCUCUGAGAGGAGAAGCCCGGAGAUGGGUACUGAGACACGGACCCAGGCCCUAUGGGGCGCAGCAGGCGAGAAAACUUUGCAAUGUGCGAAAGCACGACAAGGUUAAUCCGAGUGAUUUCUGCUAAAGGAAUCUUUUGCCAGUUCUAAAAAUACUAGUGAAUAAGGGGUGGGCAAGUUCUGGUGUCAGCCGCCGCGGUAAAACCAGCACCUCAAGUGGUCAGGAGGAUUAUUGGGCCUAAAGCAUCCGUAGCCUGCUCUGUAAGUUUUCGGUUAAAUCUAUAUGCUCAACAUAUAGGCUGCCGAAAAUACUGCAGUGCUAGGAAGUGGGAGAGGUAGACGGUACUUGAUAGGAAGGGGUAAAAUCCUUUGAUCUAUCGAUGACCACCUGUGGCGAAGGCGGUCUACCAGAACACGUUCGACGGUGAGGGAUGAAAGCUGGGGGAGCAAACCGGAUUAGAUACCCGGGUAGUCCCAGCUGUAAACGAUGCAGACUCGAUGAUGCAUUGGCAUAUAGCCAGUGCAGUGUCGCAGGGAAGCCGUUAAGUCUGCCGCCUGGGAAGUACGUACGCAAGUAUGAAACUUAAAGGAAUUGGCGGGGGAGCACCACAAGGGGUGAAGCCUGCGGUUCAAUUGGAUUCAACGCCGGG
rnacentral:rRNA from 1 species